ACACAGCAAUAUACAAAAAAACAAAGUAUUUUUAACAAACAAAAAGAGAGAAUGCACCUAAUACAUGUGUUUUGUUACAAAAAAAUAGCAUGCAACCUUCAGAGGCCACAUUUAAGGUGCCCCUAUUAUGGAUUUUUGGAAACACAACUUUAAGUGAAUGAAAACAUCCUGCGAAGUUUUAAAUCUGAAAGUGUACGGUGUUUAAAGUUAUCGUUUCUCAAAAGAAAGAGUCGACUCUGAAUCAUUGAACUGAGUCAUUUUUUUUUCCAAAACGAAUCCCAAGCCGUUUCAUGUUGACGUCAACAUUAAACAUUAGGACAUUUGCCCACACACUUGUUGGUCUGAAAGAAAAUUCAUUUUCAUUCAUUGUUUGCCACUAGGUGCCGCUUUUGGAGCGGGAAAAUAACGGUUUCCCUGGUAACGCUGUACACAAAGCAGCACUGCACCUCACAAAUGAAUCGUUUAGGAGUCUUGAGCAAGUAAGGGCACUUUAAGGCAAAUCCAAGAUGGUGGAUGAGGAUUUGUUUGGGGCUGCGUGACCUUGCCAUCACUCCUCCGAGGACUGGCUGGAAUCGAGUCUGGAAGCAUGAUGAACUCCUCUUUAAAAAGAGCAAUCUGUACCAGGCGGAGCCAAUGGUGGAAAGAGGGAAACAUCCUCCCUGGAACUCGGGGCAGGAGAGGAAGAUAUAGGGUCCCAACAAGGCCUCCGAGGUCCCCAGACGUGACAGGCAGGCGUUGAGCUGGUGCCACACUG